UGCCCCCAGGGAGGAUCGAACUCCCGACCCCUGGUUUACGAGACCAGUGCUCUAGCCACUGAGCUAUGGAGGC
rnacentral:tRNA from 11 species